GGCCCUCGGCUCCUGCGAGAGGGUCCGGAUUAUUCCCGCCUCCUCCCUGCCGCACUUGGUCUCGUCAUUGGGUAGCGGCGAUGCCUCUCCGGCCAGGCGGGGAUGCUGAUUGGCCCGAGGUGGUGGAGGGCUAAGAACAUCGCGCCUCAACCACGGGAAGGAAGAGGCGGGCUUUCGAGGAGGGGAGCGCGGGCUGCCAUUGGCUGUGUUGAGGCCCCGCCCCCGGGGUCAGAGGGGAGCGGAGCGGUCACCUAGCAACCGCGGGACGCGGGCGGAAGGCGGGAGCUCCGGGCCCGCCGACCCCGACCCCGAGGGGAGGCCCCGGCCCGGGGACCCCCCGGUCCCCGCGCUCCUGGGCUGGGCCUCGGCUCCAGGAGGCGAUGUUUCUGUUCCCAGGCCCCGGUCCGGGGGCGUCGGUGCCCGCAGGGAAGAGAUGGGCCCUGAGGAAGGGCAGCCCAGCCCAGCCCCAAGAGGCAGCGGGUACAGCAGGUGCCGGGAAGGGCCGGGGGCCCCGUCAGUGAAACACGACGUUCCCCAAACCCCAGGAUUACAUCCAACUCUGAGGAGGGCUGGAUUUACAAGGAGGACAAUGAGAUGAGAGAUCUCAACAGCAGCUUCCAACAGCUGACCAGAAGACUUCAAGAUCCGCAGACCAAGCAGGAAGUGGUGAAACAGCAGAAACAGGAGCUGCAGGCUUCCCCAAACGAGCGUACGGAGCUAGAGCAGGACACGCGGCACCUAAGGACACAACUCAAUACACUUGUAUUGGAGCACUGAGAAUCAGCACUGGCUCUCAGAAAGGUACUGCAGGAGGAGAUUAAACAUGUCAUAG